AACGAACGCUGGCGGCAGGCUUAACACAUGCAAGUCGAGCGCCCCGCAAGGGGAGCGGCCGCCGGGUGAGUAACGCGUGGGAACGUACCUUUUGGUUCGGAACAACUCCGGGAAACUGGAGCUAAUACCGGAUAAGCCCUAACGGGGAAAGAUUUAUCGCCGAAAGAUCGGCCCGCGUCUGAUUAGCUAGUUGGUGAGGUAACGGCUCACCAAGGCGACGAUCAGUAGCUGGUCUGAGAGGAUGAUCAGCCACACUGGGACUGAGACACGGCCCAGACUCCUACGGGAGGCAGCAGUGGGGAAUAUUGGACAAUGGGCGCAAGCCUGAUCCAGCCAUGCCGCGGGAGUGAUGAAGGCCUUAGGGUUGUAAAGCUCUUUUGUCCGGGAAGAUAAUGACUGUACCGGAAGAAUAAGCCCCGGCUAACUUCGU
rnacentral:rRNA from 1 species